rnacentral:snoRNA from 13 species
UCCAUAAUGAUGUCAAUUACCUAACUGAUUACUAUUUUCGAUCUAUUUUUGAGAGAUUUUUGGUUACUUUAAAGAUGUGCUCGAUUGCGAGGCAUUUGUCUGAAUGAAAG